GGUAGGCGGCGGCAGUAGCGGUGAGGGUGGUCGGGACUUCAGUGUCGGUGGCAACGGCAGCGAUGGUGUUUGCUGUCCCGGAAGUGGGGAACCCGGCGGUGGCGGAUGUGACGUCAUCUGUGGGUUCUUCGAUAGUGGCCUCAGUUCAUAAGUCUAACAAGGUGGAGGCUACCCAGGCCAUGUUGACUGCAGAAUGUUGGAGAAUAAUUGAUAUUUUUCAAGCUGGAGGAAGGUUCCCCAGAAAUUAGUAUUGGGACCCGUGUUUUUCCAGAUAUACAACUUACUAUGAGACAGGGGAGUAUGAAAAAACCCCACAGCUAUGCUUGCUGGAGGACAAGAGUCGACAUAUUUCUAAUGUGAGUUAUUAUUUUGGAAAGAUUUAUUUAGACACCUCUUGACUAUGGCCAGAGGUAGUGUGUUCAACCUGUCAAGGCUCUGAGGAGAAGGAGCAGGCAGUUAACCCUGAUCAUUCACACCUGGCUUGUGUAUAUAUUAUGUGAAA